AAAAUGGUUUUUGUUUUUGUUGGUUGAUUUUAAGUUUGAAAAGAGAUUUUGAAGAAUAGAGAUGAGAGGCCUCAAGGGCAUAAGAUUUGGAAAAUGUGAGGUGGAAUUAGUCUUUUUCAAAAUGAAGUCUAUGUGUAUUUAAGAUUCAUUGGAAAUUUUACUUAAGAAAAAUAAAGAGAAAUAAGGAGUUUUGACUCCCAUUUUAUUUUUUGCAAAAAAGUUUUCAAAUGAGGUUAUUUGCAUAUUUUGGGAAAAAGUUGGAUUUUUUCUAAGUGUUAAAACCUAAACAUUCGUCUAACCAUGCAAUCCUAGCCGUAUAUCUACACAUACAAUCCUAGGCAUACAUCUAGGGUGAGUGUGUGCGUGCCGGUGCGUCAUAGUGUCCAUAGUCCAUAUUACAACAAUUGCCUAAAUACAUUCUAUGGCCCCUUUGCCAAGCUACAAACCAAUGAUAACAAAUUACAUCACUAAAUGGAUUAAAACUUGCAAAAAAUGAAUACUAAACUAAAGGAAGUGGAGGAGAUAGUG
rnacentral:lncRNA from 1 species